rnacentral:rRNA from 1 species
UACGGGGGGAGCAAGCGUUGUUCGGAUUUACUGGGCGUAAAGGGCGCGUAGGCGGCGCAACAAGUCACUUGUGAAAUCUCCGGGCUUAACCCGGAGCGGCCAAGUGAUACUGUCGUGCUAGAGUGCGGAAGGGGCUACUGGAAUUCUCGGUGUAGCGGUGAAAUGCGUAGAUAUCGAGAGGAACACCAGUGGCGAAGGCGAGUCCCUGGACACUUCCUGACACUGAGGCACGAAAGCUAGGGGAGCAAACAGG